rnacentral:lncRNA from 1 species
CCAUCAUAACAAAGUUGAAUCUUCACAAAAUCCUUACUUGAUCUUCACUUUAGGCUUUCCUUUAUGUAGUUUUAGCCCAUAGGUUUGAUUAGGCUCCCUCAGCCUAUGAUUGCAAGUGUUGCACCAAAUCUGUCCCAUAUGAGUUAAAGCACGCCCCAAAUAUAUAUGGAUUAUAUGAAUAUGAUUUUGAACUACUCUUGGAUCCAUUGGAAUGAUAUAAGUUUGUUCCAC